AAUCCGUGUUACGGGCACUUUCUCAGGAGCUCGUUAAACCUUUCCCAUGUCUUAAAUAGAGACUCCAAUUCCGACUGUACAAAGGAUGAGAUCGCAUUCCUAAGUUU